rnacentral:rRNA from 1 species
CCUACGGGUGGCAGCAGUGAGGAAUAUUGGUCAAUGGACGAGAGUCUGAUCCAGCGAAGUAGCGUGAGGGAUGACUGCCCUAUGGGUUGUAAACUUCUUUUAUAUGGGAGUAAAAUGUUCCACGUGUGGGAUUUUGUAUGUACCAUAUGAAUAAGGAUCGGCUAACUCCGUGCCAGCAGCCGCGGUAAUACGGAGGAUCCGAGUGUUAUCCGGAUUUAUUGGGUGUAAAGGGAGCGUAGGGGGAUUGUUAAGUCAGUUGUGAAAGUUUGCGGCUCAACCGUAAAAUUGCAGUUGAAACUGGCAGUCUUGAGUACAGUAGAGGUGGGCGGAAUUCGUGGUGUAGCGGUGAAAUGCUUAGAUAUCACGAAGAACUCCGAUGGCGAAGGCAGUUCACUGGACUGCAACUGACACUGAGGCUCGAAAGUGUGGGUAUCAAACAGGAUUAGAUACCCGAGUAGUC